rnacentral:rRNA from 1 species
ACACCGCCCGUCACACCAUGAGAGUUGGGAAUACCCGAAGCCUGUGAGCUAACAUUAUGAGGCAGCAGUCGAAGGUAGAAUCAAUGAUUGGGGUGAAGUCGUAACAAGGUACC